UGAGGUGCAUGUUUGUCCUUUGCCUCUUGGUGCAGGAGCCACUGACUACUUCUGUCCCCUGAACACGUGCUGUCCUCAUCCCUUGCAGUGCUGGUGCAGAAGCGUUCUCUUUCACCAGUGAUUACAAGACUUUGGAAGCAUGGAAAAGUUGACUGGACAGGUCUCUACAGAGAAUCCAGAAACAAAAUUGAGACCAAGGACCACAGACCAGAUGCUCAAAAAGAGAGAGGUCUGGAGUAAGAGGCAUCAAAUGAUAAUUCAAAGCACCUUCUACCUCAAUCUUUUCUAUGGUCAGAUACAUACAAUGACUCCUAGGACUGGACUGACUAAGACAUGCCAGAGAAUUGAAAGGAUCCUGGGAUUUAGGACCAGGCAAGUGAAAGGGUCAGUGUGUACCAUUUUCAGUAAGAGAAACUGGAAAA
rnacentral:lncRNA from 1 species